GACGAAGGGGGCUAGCGUUGUUCGGAAUUACUGGGCGUAAAGCGCGUGUAGGCGGUUGUUCAAGUCAGGUGUGAAAGCCUUGAGCUCAACUCAAGAAAUGCACUUGAUACUGGAUGACUAGAGGACCGGAGAGGAUAGUGGAAUUCCUGGUGUAGCGGUGAAAUGCGCAGAUAUCAGGAAGAACACCAAUGGCGAAAGCAGCUCUCUGGGACGGUAUUGACGCUGAGACGCGAAAGCGUGGGGAGCGAACAGG
rnacentral:rRNA from 1 species